GGAAUAUUGCGCAAUGGCCGAAAGGCUGACGCAGCGACGCCGCGUGGAGGAUGAAGUCCGUUAGGAUGUAAACUCCUUUUGCAGGGGAAGAAUGUCCCGCCUUCGGGCGGGAUUGACGGUACCCUGCGAAUAAGGAUCGGCUAACUACGAGCCAGCAGCCGCGGUAAUACGUAGGAUCCGAGCGGUGGACGGAAUUACUGGGUGUAAAGGGCGUGUAGGUGGAUCUCUAAGUCGGUGGUGAAAUCCUGCAGCUUAACUGUAGGAGUGCCGUCGAUACUGGAGGUCUUGAGUGCGGCAGAGGGAGAUGGAAUUCAUGGUGUAGCGGUGAAAUGUGUAGAUAUCAUGAAGAACACCGGUAGCGAAGGCGGUCUCCUGGUCCGUUACUGACACUGAGGCGCGAAAGCGUGGGGAGCAA
rnacentral:rRNA from 1 species